GUCGAGAAUCUUUCACAAUGGGGGCAACCCUGAUGGAGCGACGCCGCGUGGAGGAUAAGGUCUUCGGAUUGUAAACUCCUGUCAUGCGUGAACAAGGUUGCUUGGAUAAUACCUGAGCAAAUUGAUGGUAGCGCAAGAGGAAGAGACGGCUAACUCUGUGCCAGCAGCCGCGGUAAUACAGAGGUCUCAAGCGUUGUUCGGAAUCACUGGGCGUAAAGGGUGCGUAGGUGGCGUGGCAAGUCAGAUGUGAAAGCCCGGGGCUCAACCUCGGAACUGCAUACGAUACUGCCAUGCUGGAGUACUGGAGGGGUGACUAGAAUUCUCGGUGUAGCAGUGAAAUGCGUAGAUAUCGAGAGGAAUACCAAAGGCGUAGGCAGGUCACUGGACAGUUACUGACACUGAGGCACGAAGGCCAGGGGAGCGAACGGGAUUAGAUACCCUAGUAGUCC
rnacentral:rRNA from 1 species